UCGGAGAAACCUGAAAAUCCGGAAGAGAGUAGGGA
rfam:Paludibacter sp. SCN 50-10 ABS72_C0048, whole genome shotgun sequence.